rnacentral:rRNA from 1 species
CGUAGGUGGCAAGCGUUGUCCGGAAUUAUUGGGCGUAAAGCGCGCGCAGGCGGUCCUUAAGUCUGAUGUGAAAUCUUGCGGCUCAACCGCAAGCGGUCAUUGGAAACUGGGGACUUGAGUGCAGAAGAGGAAGCGGAAUUCCACGUGUAGCGGUGAAAUGCGUAGAGAUGUGGAGGAACACCAGUGGCGAAGGCGGCUUUCUGGUCUGUAACUGACGCUGAGGCGCGAAAGCGUGGGAGCAAACAGGAUU